GAUGAACGCUAGCGGCAGGCUUAAUACAUGCAAGUCGAGGGGCAGCAUGGUGUAGCAGUACACUGAUGGCGACCGGCAAACGGGUGCGGAACACGUACGCAACUUACCCAAAACUGGGGAAUAGCCCGGGGAAACCCGGAUUAAUACCUCGUAACAUAAUGAAGUGGCAUCACUUUAUUAUUAUAGCUCCGGCGGUUUUGGAUGGGCGUGCGCCUGAUUAGGUAGUUGGCGGGGUAAUAGCCCACCAAGCCUACGAUCAGUAACUGGUGUGAGAGCACGACCAGUCACACGGGCACUGAGACACGGGCCCGACUCCUACGGGAGGCAGCAGUAAGGAAUAUUGGUCAAUGGACGCAAGUCUGAACCAGCCAUGCCGCGUGAAGGAUGAAGGUCCUCUGGAUUAUAAACUUCUUUUAUAUGGGAAGAAAUCCAUCUUUUCUUGGGUGGUUGACGGUACCAUAGGAAUAAGCACCGGCUAACUCCGUGCCAGCCGCCGCGGUAA
rnacentral:rRNA from 1 species